CAUUGGUCUGUCUCUGCCUCUGCUUCUCUGUUUCUCUGUGUCUGUUUCCUUUCUCAGGCCCUGGCAUGGCUCAUGGCAAUUAUCUCCACCCCCACCCACCCCUCACAGCUGACAACACGUUUCCCGUGUGAGACUCUGUGUCUCCCGAGAAGCAGACACCAAGACAGGAUGAGAGAUGCACAGAUUUUAUUGGGAAAAACACCUGCAGGAGAAAACGGUCAUCAGAGCCUGAACAAGUCCUCCCGCAAUGACCUACCAGGUGGUGCCAGGCCUGUAGCAGGUACCCUGGAUCGGAUCGGCUGCUCUGCUCCACGAGGCUCCCAGCACCAUCUCAGCAGGUCGGCGCUGCCUCAGGUCUGAAAUGAUGUCUUCUCUUUCCUGUUUUCUGAGCAGCUCAUUCUGCUGCCCGUCAAAUAGGCCCUUUCCCCAGGACCCUUGGGGUCCAGCUGAGUGGAGCAGCCUCCCACACUGGAAGCCUUGAGUUUUCCCCACCUGGGCCUUUCUCUCUGUCCCUGACAUCCGGUUGGUCACCAGAUCCUGGCAGUUGAAAGUCAUUCUCAAGUCCAGCCCCACCACUGCACCUCGGUCCAUGCUCCUGGACACCAGUCUCUCACCGAGCGCUAUGCGUGGCUUGCGUCUGCGGCUGAGAAAUCCUUUCAAACGCACGCCUUCCCUAUUAUAUCCAGCAUAGGAUCUGACCCGGCAGGACCUCAGUAAAGACUUGUGGCUGCUUUAAGAGUGGGCACCUGCCGUCACAUUUUCCUCAGCAUUUUCCCUAUGCUGCUGGCGCAUUGGGUAGCUCUACUCAACCCAUGACGGAUUGCAGAUCUUUUGGCCGCUGCAUUCACAAAUUUGUCCCGAGCCGCUCCAUGGAAGGCAUCCCAGAAGCCUAUCAAUCUUCCCAUGAGUGUUCAAGAUUCCCAAAUCCCCAAAAGGCCCUAAUACCAUCUCUGUGUGAGCAGCUGCCCAUGUGUUGGGGAGUGCCCUGCCUGAGGCAGAGGGCGCACUGCAUCUGUUUGGAGGUGGGUGAGCCUCACGUGUUCUGCACAGGGCAUGAGGUAGGCAUUGGAGAGCAGCCCUGGCCCCCCCACCCAGGGGACAGUAGGUGGGGUUCUAAAUUAUGAGUCAUUAAUCAGCUCUUCAUAUGUCUGAAUUAUUCAUAAAGUAAGUGCUUGUGGUUUGGAUGCUAGUCUAUGAAUAUAUAGGCAAAUUAUUUAUUAUGGCAUUUACAUGGAUUUUGCAAAAAAGUUUUCCAGAAACCCUUUAGGUUCAGUGGUUGAAUUUAACAAAUAUUUCCUGUGCACCUACUCUAUGACAGAAAUUGUGAUUGGCGUUAAAGACAUAAAGAUGAAUAGGAUAAUAAGCACCUGCCUUCAGUGUGCUCUGGGUUAGCAGGGAGAACACACAAUCCAGCUGGUCCACAGAGGCUGACUUAUUAACAACAUUUAUCACAGCAUGUGGGAAAUAUGAGCUAACUGUAUUUCAGAUAGUAACAUGACCACGCCAAAACCAAACCAAAUCAAAACAAGGCAAGAAACCAAACCAACAAACCAACCCCACCACCACAACAGAAACUAACCCAAGUAACAUUGAACACGGAACCUUGACCUAUAACCCUUGUCCUGCAGACAAAAUACCUGCAAACAAAUAUUGAACUUGACUUGUGGGUUUGCUUUCACUGUGGUGCAAGGUAGCAAUUCUGUAAUGAUUUUCUGUCUUGUAGGGUUGAGCAAAUACAAGAUUCCACCAGUGCUGUUGGAA